rnacentral:rRNA from 1 species
UACAGAGGGGGCAAGCGUUAUUCGGAAUUAUUGGGCGUAAAGGGCUCGUAGGCGGUCUGUUGCGUCGGGAGUGAAAACUCAGGGCUUAACCCUGAGCCUGCUUCCGAUACGGGCAGACUAGAGGUAUGCAGGGGAGAACGGAAUUCCUGGUGUAGCGGUGAAAUGCGCAGAUAUCAGGAGGAACACCGGUGGCGAAGGCGGUUCUCUGGGCAUUACCUGACGCUGAGGAGCGAAAGUGUGGGGAGCGAACAGG